AAUUGUAAAAGAGAUAAACUUGAAAGAUUACUUAUAUUGGUUUGGAUGGUUAUCGUCCUUUACCUUCCAUUUUUCCAUUUUCUCGUCCACCUUUCUCGUAAUACAAAUCCCCAAUUAUGGGCCAAAGAUUCUCACUGGUUCACGACAAGUUCAAUCUCGAAAUUUUUUCGAAAAGGUGUCGUAUCAUAAGAACCGUUUGGAGGGGGAAUACGCGUGCCAUUUCCUUACACAUCGCAUUCCCCUAAUACUAAUCUCCGAGUACAUUUUUUAAGCUAUCCUUAAAGCAGUUCGUUUUAUUUGAAACUGUGUUGCGUGUAGUCGAAAAAUUGGGAAUGCAGCAUCCAAACACUUUGUUCGAUGUUCUUGUGCAUUAACAUCGAUCUCCAACGCAACGGUAAAAUUAAAAAGUCUUUGGGUGCACAAAAUAUCUGAGAAAUUCUCAUGUAGCGCUAGUUUUAUAUGGGAAAUCGUGAAGGUAACGAGCAGAAAGUUACGAGAGCAUGAAGCGAAGAAAGGAAGAUCGACGGAGGAAAAGUUUCAAUUUUUCCGAACGGAUUAUAACGGGCUGCUGAAUAGUCCAAGUAGGUCUUCAAUGGCAAAUAUUAUGUUAAAUCUCCUAUGAAUGGGACAAUGCUGACGGGAUUCUAAUAUCUGGAUCUUAAAUGCGUGUAUAGAACAUCAUAUUGAAGCCACAUUGUUAUCCCGUGAACUAGUAGACCUAUAAUAUAAUAAAUGGAACGGCAACCCUAUAGGGUGUUCCCUAGAUGAAAAAUGUAUCCAAGGUCUAAUAAUUUGGUGAGCUUUCCUAAGCCUAACGGCUGAAAUCGAUGAUCGAAGUGGGUUGCUACUGGACGAAUAGAUUUCGUUUACGACUAUCAUAACCACAUGUUUCCUCCAUCUUUUCUAUUGUCCGAUAAUCCUUUUUUUCUUUCAACGGACCUACCCAGUUGCUUUUGAGCUGUUCCUCGUAAUGAUGAGACGCAAUUUAGCCGAGAUUAACAGAACUGGAAAUUAUCUCCACGUAGAAUCGAAGCGAUAACGACCGUUGUGAGUAGGACGUAUCUGGAGUCUAAUCUGCUUUCAGCGAUAAUUCAAGUUAAUUAUUCUCCGUAGUCUUGGGCUGUGAGCUCCAUGCGUUUCCUUUGAAGCUCUGGCAUCGGAUCAAGGUAUAUAUUUCUCUGGCCUGGACGUCUCCCAAACAGAGAGAAAUUCACGGAUCCCCAGGCACCGACCGAUCUUAUAACGAAAAAUAUUUCACGGAAGUAAUAACACACUCGAGUGAAAUUUUAUUCCCAUUCCGUUGAUGUAACUCGUUCAACUUGCCGAUAAACGAACGCUUCAAACAAGUUACUUUGGAAACGUUCAUUUACCAGCGAAUUAACAGAAGUUUGAGGCGAUAAGAACUCGAAACAUCAAACCUGCUGAAAUAAGUUCUAUCAAACUUUCCAACUACUGUAGAACUUGGCAUGUUGCAACUGUGAAUUGCAGGCGAAUUAAUAUAGCAAACGGUUGGUCGUUUCAACUGCAAUCGACCCGAGAAGAAAGAACUUGGUAUACAAACUUUUCGUCUAGAAAGAAUAAUUUCCCGGAUUCUUGAAAGAUCGGAAGCAAUCUAGGAGUAGCUGACGGUGCGAUAGAGAAAAUUUGUUCAAGAAAGAAUUGUAAUAUUUGUCGAUUAAGUCGAGUUCGUCCAGAAGCUUCUGACUUAGAGGCUAUUUCCUUUCUUCGUACGUCACAGCAUGGCUUCAAAGCUGAAGCGUAAAGACCGCGUUCUUUACUUUGAAAACAGACUAGCUUUACACAGGCGGAAGGACUAAGUUUUAAUUAAAGGUCGCGGUCGUUUUUCAGAGCGGCAACGUUUUCACGCUCACGCGUUUUUUAAGGAGAUUUUAAUUUGUUGCACAACUUUCAGAUCGUGAUGCGCAUCUCCUUCAAAGAUCUUUUUCAGCAUCUUCAUAAUUAAAAUAAAGUAACGACGAUGGCUGGGUAUAUUCCACAAAAGUUCUUCUUUAUUCUCUUUAUCAAACGAGUUGUAAAACGAGCUGAACCAAAUGUAUCCAUUUUCCAAACAAAUUUUUCUUCGUUCCUGUCGAUUGAAUUACUGUCGACCGUCGCGUCGGUAUAUGUCUAUUUGCGAUGAAAACGCAAAUGCACGGCAGCGCGGGAAGCGAAGAAAAAUAGAGAUGGGAUCUCCAAUCGGGCUACGUAAUUUUUUCAAUUUAAAUCUAAUCUAGCCUGGUACGCAGACGCAUCUACAUAUAUUUUCGGAGCAAAGUAACGAACGGAAGUGAGACGGGGGCACAAAUGGGAAGGCUAGUAGACCUUUCACAGAGCUCGAAUAUUUUUUCCUUUAUUCAGACCGUUCACCGUGCUGGCAAUUACGUGCCAUUUACGUGGCAACCAGGCUGUCGCAUCUAACGCGGCUUUUCCGCCUACACGCGCCCGCGCGUGAAUUCGAUCUGAUCGCAGCUAGCCCCGAUCGACUAACCCGAAAUACCGGAAUCGAUUAUGCUGGUUUACAGGAUGCCUCGUCAAUCAACGCGUGAGCCCCCCAAUUUUUCAAUCACCUUUUUCACCGAAGACAACAGCGACACGUGAACCAACGUACGAUGCUUCCCGUUAAACGGAAGCGUCAAUAGGAAGCUCGUGUCACGAUGCGCCGAGAUAUAAGACAACGAGAUCGCGUUUGUCGAACAUACGUUAUUCUAUCGUUAGUAUACAUACUAUGAAAUUUUAUAAAAUGUGAUUAGUUUGGUAGCAGAUUGUCUCCGUAAGCUUUAAUUUAAUUAAAUAAUUAUAAUUUAUAAUUGAAUUACACCACCGAUUCCGUAAGUAAUGCUGCUUUUCUGAGAGUUAAAUUUAAAGAAAUGAGAGUUGUUGCCAUCGGAGUUAGAAAAAAUUGAAAUAGGAAACUUAAUAGAAACAGAUAGUGGAUUAUUAAAAAAUAUGAGAAAAUUUAUCGCUGAUUGAUUGCGAAGAAGCAAUCGUUUAGUUUUAUCUAGCACGGAAUGGCUUGAUAUAUUUAAAAAGUUAUUUUCAACAAGAUGCUAUAUAAAGAAGGGAACAAUUCAGUUGUAUUAUCGAGAUACAUACUGACUCGAAAUACAUACUGUUAUGUCUAAGUACUUUACUUAUCCCGUUAGGAGAUUACAUUUCCGUUCCGGCUGAGAUUACUUAUUCGUUUUAUAGCGAUAAGAGUAAGUCGGUAUAUAUGUACAAAGCAGAAAAGAUACGUAUAUACGAUUCCAAGGGAAUCCAUAAAAGUAACAACAUAGAAAACUUUUCUUAUAUCCGGUGAAGCAUAAGCGUAUAACGUUGUAAUAGUAACCUCAAAAUAAAUAUAGACGUUGUACCGACGUAUCAGUAAUACGAUGUUGCGGAAUCGAUAGUAUCAGCCGAAGUGUAAUUUCACAAAUACAGUUAUUAUCGAUGCAAAGACUGAACAGUCAUUGUAAGACGUACGCUAUAAUAAAGACGAAAAUUUCAAGAAA